rnacentral:lncRNA from 1 species
GCAGGAGGACUGUCAGGCUAGGGUAUUUUUAGCAUAGCUCCUUCCCUUUGGAAGUUGUACAGGUUGGCUGCAUGCCUCUACUGAAGGCUACUCUUCUUAUCAAGUAACGUCUUCUCCAUGCUCUUGACCCUUGCCCCUUCAGACCUAUGGAUGGUAAUAACCUGCCCACACCUAGUUUACCAUCAGAGGACACAGCAGCAAGGUGCCAUCCUAGAAGCAGAGAGCAGACCCUUACCAGACAACCAACCAGCUGGUGCCAUGAUCUUGGACUUCUCGGCCUCCAGAACUCUAAUUAUGUUACUUCUGUUUCACAUGGAUCUCAUAUAGAAAAUGCACAAGUGUUUAAGAACAGAAUAUAAUGAUGAAGGAAUAUCAAUAAGUAUAUUUUUUGCAUUGGUUAUAUUAGUCAAACAUGGCAUUACAAAAGGAGUGUCUAAUCUUCCCCAGAUGUCAUUAUAAGGUAAAGUUCUUACAUAUUAUUAUCAGCAUCAGUAAAAUUUGAUAAAUUUCUAUUUGACUGACAGAAAUACAGAUUUAUCUUUGUUCCAUGCCACUCCUGAUAGACAUUUACCUCCACCUUGGAAGAAUACAAAGGACUCCACUUAAAAGGCAAAUCAAGCCAAACCUUAUAAAGACAAGCCACAGACUUCAGGUUACAUGUUUUGAGUUCUGCACAAAAUAUUUGAAUGGGUGCUUCAUAAAAGAUGAUAUAUGAGGACUUGGGGCAGAACAAGAUGGCAGAAUAGAAGGCUCCGCCAAUUGUCCCUGCUUCAAGGACACCAAUUUAACAACUAACUACAUAAAAUAGCACCUUUAUAAGAACCAAAAAUCAGGUGAGUACCUGGCUUUAACUUCGUAUUACUAAAAGAGGCACUGAAGAGGCAGGAAAAACCGUCUUGAAUUGCUGACAUCACACCUCCUCUCUCCCGCAGCAGCAGUGGCAUGGUGCAGAGAACAUUUUUGUGUGCUGGGGAGAAGGAGAUCACAGUAUUUGUGAGGCAUUGAACUCAGUGCUGCCUUAUUAUAACAGAAAACAAAAUUGGACC